GGGGCUAUAGCUGAGGUGCGAGAGCGCCGACCUCGCCCGCAGGAGAUGUGCGGUUCGAUCCGGCACAGCUCCGCCA
rnacentral:tRNA from 1 species